GCCGGGAGUGGUGGUACAUGCCUGUAAUCCCAGUGGCUUGGGAGGCAGAGGCAGGAGGAUUGUGAGUUCAAAGCUAGACUCAGCAACUUAGCAAGGCCCCCAAGAAAAUCAGUGAGACCCUGUCUCUG
rnacentral:sRNA from 1 species